rnacentral:lncRNA from 1 species
AUCCAACACAUCUCUCUCAUUUUUGAGACUCUCUAUCAUUGUCCAAACUACCACUACACAUUAUCUCUCUUAUUUCCAUUCUAAAACCAACCUUUUUUCCUGCAAACGAGAGAAACUAAUACACAUCAUGUUUUUAACGCACUACCACUAUCCACUACACUGAUAAGAUCAUAACCCUGUCUAUUUCCCCCUCCGUCCAAAUACGCCUCCAACACCACCAAAGAGAACAACCGUUAGAAACACCAUCACCAAGCUCCGAACCACCUUCUACUCUCUUCGAUUUUUUCUGGAAAAAACCAAACACUAAUCCUUUGCUUCUUCAACCCCACCAGCAACGAUAGCAAAACUACCAUGAUAAACGAUUAUGCACCUUCAACCUCCUCACGAUCCACUCACCUACAACUCCCAUCUCUGCCACAACCUACUUCUGGAUUCUUCAGUUUCUUUCUCAAUUUUUAUUAUUGUACAAUUGUGUUUGUUUGACAAAAUUCGAAUCGAUCAGUUGAAGAUUUUCAAUUGGAGUUCACUUGAUUCGAUGGUUAUGGCGUUCUGGUUGUUUUUGAUGCUGUAAGAAACUUAUAAAUGCUGUAAAUGUAAUAUUGUUAUUGAUGUUGUUUCAAUUGAGAUUCAAGUGUCUUUAUUUUCUUAAUCUGUUCAUGUGCUGGUUUGUUUUGUUUUGAACUAAGAAUCAGUUUUACUAUGUUGUGAAUCUCACAUGGUUUGCGUUUCGGUAUGAAUUGUUUCAGUAUCAUCUUUGCCUUUGUAUAUGGGAUUUAGAUCCAAAUUCUCGAUUGUUGAUAUGUUUAUUUAGAUAUGAUUUGUUUCUGGUUGUUUGCUGCUACGUUGAAAUUGGAAUCAAGCUCCCACGCGUUCGAUAUGAUGUGUAUGCCGAGCAAAUUUAUUUCUUUUUAUAUAAUGAUGUAAACAAUGUUGUAAAUAAAUUGUGGCUGUUGUACUUUCUUUUUAUAGUCGAUUGCUAUCAUUUUAUUUCAGUUUCUAUUGCUUUAAAUCGAAAUUUUAAUCCGCGGAUUCGAAAA